rnacentral:rRNA from 1 species
UCUGGUGCCAGCAGCCGCGGUAAUUCCAGCUCCAAUAGCGUAUAUUAAAGUUGUUGCAGUUAAAAAGCUCGUAGUUAAUUUUCUGUUAAUUUUUAUAUACAAUACUACGGUAUUUAUAUAAUAUUAACAUAAUUCAUAUUACUUUUUAGUAUAUGAAACUUUACUUUGAGAAAAUUAGAGUGCUUAAAGCAGGCUAUUGCCUUGAAUACUCCAGCAUGGAAUAAUAUUAAGGAUUUUUAUUCUUCUUAUUGGUUCUAGAAUAAAAAUAAUGAUUAAUAGGGACAGUUGGGGGCAUUUGUAUUUAACAGUCAGAGGUGAAAUUCUUAGAUUUGUUAAAGACAAACUACUGCGAAAGCAUUUGCCAAGGAUGUUUUCAUUAAUCAAGAACGAAAGUUAGGGGAUCGAAGACGAUCAGAUACCGUCGUAGUCUUAACCAUAAACUAUGCCAACUAGAGAUUGGAGGUUGUUCCUUACUCCUUC